UAUGCUCUGCUCUGGCUGGUCAAACGGAACCAAGCCCAUCUUCCUCAGAGGUUUGGUCCCCUUCAACCAGCUAUAGCAGUGUUGAAAA
rnacentral:pre_miRNA from 1 species